ACCUCCUGGCGUACGUGUUGCAAGAGAUACUCAAGAUCUAUUGAUCGACUGUUGUGUCGAGUUCAUCAAUCUGGUUUCGUCAGAGUCAAAUGAAGUGUGUAGCAAAGAAGAUCGUAAAA